UGCAGCCACCCGUCAAAGGGGCAGAGACAGGGCUAGAACCCAGAUCUGUGCACCCCUUUGAGACAUACUGAGGGCGUCCCUGCCACACCUGGGUCCCAGAGCAACAUCUGAGCAUCAUUCCCUCACAGCCUGGGCCACCCUCCCUGGCACCCAAGCAGCCCAACAGCUCCCACGGAGCUGCCUCCUUCCCAGCACUGGGAGGGUGCUUCACAGGCCAUGAGGGUGACCCCUGAGCCAAGUCACCAGCCUCGAAACCUUGGGGUCAUUCUUCCUGCACAGGCUCUACCCCCAUAGCCCAGACCCUGCUGGGAGCAUCCAUCUCCAAGGAUGGGGACCUGGUUGCUAGGCGACGAGCAGCAGCGUUGCUAGGAUACCUGGCAAAUCAGGAGAGGACUGAGCAAGCAGGCGCCCUAGGACUCAGCAUCCCAGGCCGUCCCCCAGGACUUACCUCUGCAUCUUCACCGCAGCCGACUCAGGGACACGUGUGCAGACACGGGGCACGUCCAGAGGAACACUCACGCGGACACACAGGCUCACAUGCCUGCAAACACACACGAAGAUGCCCCCCCCCAGAUACACGAAUUAACACACAAGCACAGGCUGGUGCUCAGACACGCACAGACUCACACAGGUGAGCUCACACCACGUGCAUUCAAGUCCCGCGCGCAGCGGGAGAGAACAAGGCCUGAAGACACCCAGGAGGCACACGUGUGCACUGCACUCUCCAGGUGACGCUGGAAACGUGACCCCGCUGACCUCAGGAGCCCGGGGAGGCUCGGCCUCCUGUAGCCUCCCUCCCCCUGCCGCGCCCCCGGGGUCUGAGCAGCCCACCCCAGGCCCUGCCUCCCCCUAGGCACCCACGCCCUCCUCCUUGCAAUCUAGCCUCAGGCACAGACGAGGGAAAGAGGGGCCGUGAGGCUGGUCCAGAAAGACGUCCAGGGAGUGCACCCAGGGGACCUGGCACGCAGGACAGCCAGAGGCAGAUAUCUGGCCACUCGUAGGGACAGUCUUAGCCAAGGACAGACUUGGUCACCCAGCUAGUGGGUGGCCAGGCUGGGAUGCUGACUGCCCACCCUGGGGGACAGUGGCCCAGCCCUGGACCCUACGGGGCUCCCACGAGGGAGCCAGCGGCACAGAGGAAACGGCCCGGGGCCUCUGGUCCCCCCAGCAGCCAGGGUAAGACCCAGGGCUCAUGUGUCACUCGUAGGACAGCAGGGGACACGUCCUGCCAGGGGCCCGGGGCCAAAGCAGGACACCCUCAAACACACAUCACAUGCGGACAGCACAGAACACAGGUGACGUGGGACCGUGGGGCCAGGUGCACACAGGUGGUUCUAUGAAAGCUAGCCACCGGCCGGUGGGCAGCCGCGGAGCCUGAGGGUCCCCGUCCAAGCUGGGAGCGGGUGGGGACAGCGCCGGCCACCCAGGCACCUUGGAAACAAGGAGGGGUCCCACUACUGUUGGGAACAGAUCAUGUAUUGCCAUCCAGCGGGCCCUCAGCCUGAGACCCCUCGGCGGCACACCCCUCGGGGCCAAUCGCCAGCUGAGGCAGAGGUAAAGGACGUCCCCAAAGGAAUCGUGGCGUUUCAGCAGCCUUGGGGCCCGGGGGGCUCGGUCCGGUACGCCACCCGUGGAUUUCAGCACAGGUCACGAUCUCGGGGUGGUGAGGUCGAGCCCCACGUCGAGCUGCGUGUGAGUGUGGAGCCUGCCGGCGCCUCCUCUCUCCCUCUGCCGCCCCCCAUGCACACACGCUCUCUCGUCGCGCCCCCCCCAAAAAGAAGCAGACGCACAGGACCUGGGCGGCGGCUGAUGGCCCGUUUGCCCUCGGCAGAGCGUCCACAGCAAGGCAGCCGAGCCCGCGGACGGAGGGCACCCUGCUGCCCCCAGGACUCGCCCAUGGGCUAUGAGGGGAAGGAAGUUUCCCACAUCACGGGGCACCCAGGACAGCCAGAGCUCGCAGCUCACGGGAACGACGGCACAGACCACGUGUCCACAAACUGUGCUUACCGCUGCCGGCUGCUCCCGGGAGUCACGGGCGCUCGCGGCAGGCCGUGGGGCCCAGAGGCUCACACCACAAAGUGGGUCGGAUGCACCUCACCUUGAGUCGGAGCCCUUGAGUCGGAGCCCAGACACCUCAGGCAGGCACCCUGGCCACUCCCCUGCAUCUGCACCUGCCUCGCCCCCCCCAACCGGCGGCCACGGCCCAGAGGACAGCCGCUCCGGCAGGCUUUGGCGCCAAUCAACAUGCUUUUAGAACUCAGCAUUUCCAUGAGCCCUCGAGAACCCCAUGCAUCCUGGACACAGAAGCAGAUGGAAGACACCUGCUGCGUGGUCCCCCCCCAGGGGCUGGGCCCAGAUGCAUGGGGAUGACAAUGAUGUCCCCCCUGCCCCCCAGGAACCGCCUGGUGUGGGGAGAAGCUGGAAGAAGGAAACCAGAGCAAACUUCCGAAAACAACGUGAGCAAUCAACAACCUCCUGCACAAAUCCCAGAACUUCAGCUGAUGACCCCCCCCAAAGCCUGGACAGUUGCCCCCUCAGGGGCACAGGCCCCAAACUCCCAAGAAGGCCCCACUGCCCUCGGCACACAUCCGUGAUUGAGGGGGACAGUUGCCUCGGCACCGUGGGGGUCACCACACGUUGGCAAAUUAUGGACUCAACGCACUAAUGUAAACGAGUGCGAGCAUGUGAAUUCAUGGAUUCUAGAACAAACUGACCGGUGUAUGACUGAGUUACAGAAUAAACUGAGAAGUAGAUUGGUUAUAAAAUAUCAGGAAAUUAACAAAUACACAAAUAGAUCACAGAAAUGGAGGUGCCAGGACUCAGGAACCCAGAAAUAUGGGAUUCGGCAAAACCUGGCUCUGGGACCUUGUGGGACCCAGACUUGCACUGGAAGAGCUGAGGGGUCCUGAGCGCUGCCCCAGUUUCCAUUUCCUCGGAACAACACCUGCUGGGGGAGCCCUUUUGGGCCCCCCAAAAACCAGCCCCGAAGACCUCUCCAGCCCGGAAGCUGGGCCCACAGACCCCAGAAGAGCAUGUUUGGGGCU